GAUGGUGGAUGAGGUAUGCUGAUUGCCCCACCCACUGAAAAAUUACUGAAAAUGCUGUAUGGACCACUUUCAAACUCCGACGCCAUCAUGUCGCCCGAAGAUGAGCUGGACGGGUACGAGCCGGAGCCUCUCGGGAAGCGGCCGGCUGUCCUGCCUUUGCAGGAGUAGGUCGGGGAGGCCAGUAAUGGCUCCGGCACGGAAGGGUCCCUGCCCUCGACGCCGCCCCCAGCAGAGGAGGAGGAGGAGGACGAGUUGCACCGGCAGUCGCUGGAGAUUAUCUCUCCGUACCUUCGGGAGCAGGCAACCGGCGCCAGGGACGCAAAGCCAAUGGGCAGGUCUGGGGCCGCCAGCAGGAAGGCGCUAGAGACCUGACGACGCGUCGGGGACGGUGUGCAGCGCAGCCAUCACACGGCCUUCCAAGGCAUGCUUCGGAACUGGACAUCAAAAACGAAGACGAUGUCAAAUCUUUGUCUCGAGUGAUGGUCCAUGUUUUCAGUGACGGCGUAACAAACUGGGGCAGGAUUGUGACUCUAAUUUCUUUUGGUGCCUUUGUGGCCAAACACCUGAAGAGCAUAAACCAAGAAAGCUGCAUCGAACCAUUAGCAGAAAGUAUCACAGACGUUCUUGUAAGGACAAAACGAGAUUGGCUAGUCAAACAAAGAGGCUGGGAUGGGUUUGUGGAGUUCUUCCAUGUAGAGGACCUCGAAGGCGGCAUCAGAAAUGUGCUGCUGGCUUUUGCAGGUGUUGCUGGAGUAGCAGCUGGUUUGGCAUAUCUAAUAGAUAGCCUUGUAUGUGCAGUAAUGGGCUUCUAACCAACAACAGCCACCAGAACCACAUACAUCUGUGAAAUCAAAUGUAUUUAUGAACUUGGACUUAAAGCUGGCCAGGCUGUAACCUCCAAGAGUUCCACUCUAGCAGCCUAGCCAGAAAAGCAAGUGGCAAGAGGAUCAUAGCUAACAAGAAUAAAUACAUGGGAAAAGUA